rnacentral:lncRNA from 1 species
UCACCUUAUGGAAACAGAUCAUAUGCACUAAUUUUAGUUUGUUGGCUAACAAUUUGUUUAACUAAUUGUUUUGUGUGCAGAAUUAGAAUUUGGCUUGACCAAGGAGUAGCAAGUUGUGAUUGUUGAAUCAAUGUUCAUCUGUAGCAGUUAAACUGGAUGAACACCAUCUUUGAUUAUCAGAACUGUCAUAGAAUUAGCAAUCGUUUGACAGUGUGGUUUAAACCACAAGCUGCAUUACAUUCGGCUUUGCAGAGAUUUUAAUGCCCUGAGUUCUAUUCCUAUUUUGCUGAUUUAGUGAUAAUCUGCAAUUUUUGUUGAAUUGUGGUGAUAUCCUAUUGUGCAGAUUGUUCUGGGAAAAAUUGAAAGUUAUGCAGAUUUCACUUAGAAAGCAGUGUACACCAGAUUUGUGACCAACUGCAGCAGUGGUAAAAUUGGAUCCAUUCUUCCACAUCAGUUGCAUUGAAGCCGAGAGAGUAAUUGUGCAGUUUUGAAAAGCAACAUACUCUUAGGAUCAUAAUGAAAAAGAUUGGGAAUUUGGAAGAAAGCUUGAAUCAAGAUAAGUUUAAUANGAAGGUGAAAACCUCAAUUAUCCAAAAUGAACUUAGAAUCAUAAAAGUGGAACAAAAGAAUCAGAGAAAUCAAGAGCUUUUAAGAGAACUCAUUCAANAGGGUAGAUCAUUCAUUAAUAGCUUAAGUGGAUUUUAUUGUCAGGAGAGAGAAUAUAGAGAUAAACUCAUAAAGUUCUUGAAUGAGGGAAGUAAAAGAGACAAGGAGAGAGAACGAAGAGAAUUACAAGAAAGACAAGAGAGAAGAAAGAGAGAAGAAGAGAAAAGGAGAGAAGGAUAGAGCAAGUAAGGAUAGAAGAGGAAGAAAGAAGAGAACAACAUAGGAUAGAAGAGGAAGAAAGAAGAGAGCAACAUAGAAGAGAAGAAGAAAAAGAGAGAAUAAGAAGAGAGAAAGAUAGAAAGGAAGAGGAAGAAAAGAGAGAGGAGGAAGAGCGACUACAAAAGAAAGAGAAUGAAGAAAUUGAAAGGAAGAAAAUGGAAGAAAAGAAAUUGAUGACAACAUAUUCUAUUCUAGAACCCAAAAGGGGAGGUUUUCUAUCCUUUCACUUUUCUUCAAUUGAUAUUAAAUGUUCCAAAUUCAUCUUUUCUUUCCAAAACUUUGCCAUCACAUCUUUUCAAAAGUUACAAUUUCCAAAACUUGAGUUAGAGUUACUUUUCAAGUUAUCACUAACUCAAGACAAAAAUAAAUUUUCAAAUGAAGAAAGGUUUCUUUGUAAUCAUAAAGUUGAAAAUUUUAAAAUUAAGAAAUAUUUUUCUAAACAUAUUCUUUUAUAUACCUUGUUGGGUCAUAGAAAACUAAUUAGAGAUAUGUUUGAUGUUUAUUGCAGAUUAAUCUUUGACCCAGGAGGAACUAGUAUGGAGUCUACAAUAAUAAGUUCUCAGGCGAACCAUCAGAUUUGAGGACAAAUCCUUUCCAAGGGGGAGGGGAUGAUGACUUGGGCCCAAGCCCAAUAAAUAAAGUCCACUAAACCAAGCUCAUCAUUUAGACAAGGAAUCAUUUACUUGAAGAAUAAGGUUGCUGAGUGCACUCCCCAUGGUGAUAAAUCAACCUUGUGGCAGCAAAGCCCAAGAAAUAGAAGACUAAGGGUGCUUAGCGCACCCCUCCUUUAUGCUAAAUACACCGUGGUAGCUUUUCUUCAUUGUUAGCUUGCAUUUCCGUUUAGCUUCUAGAUUCAACAACUUCCAGCACGUGUAUGAUAAGUUGUGCAUGAUGGUAGCAAUAGGCAUCGUUUAGAUUCAUCUACCACGAGGGAGAUAACACUAUAAAUUUCCCUCCUUACUCUUUGUAGAGACACCUUUGAAUAUAUGAGAGAAUAGAUUUGCUGAUGCCUUUUCCAGCGUCUUCUCCCACCGAAGGUGACACACUUGUGCUUCUCCCAAAUUCUCCUCUAGCUUCCUUCCAAAGGUGAAGGCCUUCUGAGCUAGUUUCAUUCCAUUAAAGCACCUCAUCCAGCCCAUCUUCCAUCAUCAAUAUACUNCCGCUGCACUUCACAUCUUCGUAAACCAGACUUUCUUCCGCUGCCACCAUUUUCAUCAUCUAAAACUCACGGAUCUGAACAUAGCACCUUGGACGGAGCUAUCAUGUGGUAUCAGGAGCUGUGGUCGAGUUCCACGCUUGAGCUAAGUGUCUCUGUAUGAUUUCCAUGUUGUCUUCCAGUUACAUCCAUGUUUUUGUUCUGUUUUAUCAGUGUUGUUACUGUAUCGUCAAUUUCGCUUGGUCAUUUCUUUUGUGCAUCACUGUUUCAUUAAAUCUGUUGUGUGUUCAUGUUUUUUUCUGCUCAUUUUAAUAUGUGAAAUUUGGUUGUAGAGUCAAUUCUGCUUUUAGAUUUUAAUUUCAGUUUGUCAAAGUCAUGUGCAUUCUUAAAAUUGAUGUGGUUUUCCAAAUCUGUCCAGUUUUACUCUAAUCUGCUUUAAAUAAGUUCAUGAUGAAGUUAGUGCAAUGUUUAAAGUGAAAAUUAUCACCAAAUCAAGGCAGUGAGACACUAAGUCUAGCCUGGUGAUGAAUUAAGCCAAGCCUAACUCAUUAUUCAAAGUUGUUAUCUGCUGCUUCUAAUAGUGUUUGUUGUUACACUAGUUCAAAGUAAUUUGUGCUGGUUUAUUCUCGGAACAAUCUACUUUGGUGUAUUUACACCACUGUUUGGUGUUGCUUAAGGUUUCAAAAGAAUGGUAAACCAAAAACAAGCAAUGAAUUGCAAUUAGCAUAGCUUGGUUACCAUAAUUUCACAAGCACCUUACUGUUUUGGUCUUAUUUCAAGCUUUUCACCGUGCUUAAAAAUCCUUGGAUGUCUAAUCUGAAUUUAAUUCAUUCUAGCUGAUAAUUUCCAGCUUGAUCUAGUGUAUUAAGACUUCCUUGAGUCAUUUUCAUUAUUGCUACAGCUUUUGAAUCCAUCAAACUUGAUUUUGGUGGUUAUUUGGUGCAUUUUACUGCAUAAUUUGGUACAACAGAGGUGAAUUUUGGAAAUCUGUUGUUUCUUUCCUGUUUUACAGUUUUAGCAAGCUUAAAUUGAUGGUUUAGAGCUGCUAGCACUAUUCAUUUUGUCAAAACUUAGCCUAUAUGCAGAUUUGCAUUUCAAACCAUCACAUUUUGAGUUAAAUUAGGAAGUGGCAAGGUGAAUUUGAGAUGCAGUUUUGUUUGGUGCCUAAAUAGAGUUCAAACAAGUCUGUUUUGAUGAUUCAAGGUUGCUGAUAUGGUUCAAAUUACAAUGCCACAGCUGUUAUGCGUUGUCACUUAUUGAAACCACCAAUUUUAAGUCAUUUUUGUGUAAAAGUUGAUGUGCAGAACUGUUUUUGUGAAAUUUGGCAUUCCUAAUUGAUUUGAAUUGCAGCAAAAGCCUAGAAUCUGUACCAAAAACUUAAAAUAUCUUGGAAUGGAUGAAAUACUCCAAUUAAAAGGCCAUUAGAUUUUGUGCAGUUCAUUAAAUCAGCUUGCAAAUCUGAAAAAAAAAAAUUGCAGUUUGACUAAGUUCAUUUAGGACUUUCAUCAAACGGUUUUGCAAAAUCAAUAUUGGAAGCCUAAUCUUACGUUUCUGAAUCAACUUGCUGGUUUUUUUUUGCUUUUUGAAUCUAAUCUAAAGCAUUUCUUAGGAUCCUUUUGUUGUGCCUCCAUGUUGUAGUGCAGUUUUGUGUUGAACCAUUUCUGUGCAGCAUCAACAUUUUCGUGAACUAAUUUCUGAAAAAAACUUGUGAUCUGGUUGAAGUGUCAUCACAGGGGAAAUUGAUCUAGCUGAGAUCCUAAACCAUUGGUAGCAUAUUAGGGAGUGGAGAAUUGGUGGAAAUCACAAGGGAAAGUGGCUUACGGUACUGCAGAAUUCCUCUGCUGGAAAAUAUAGAUUGAUGCAACAGAUUGCUUCAGUUUUGUUGCUGCAAUUUAAAGCCUUUUUACCUGCAACUGUGAGCUUUGUUGGCUGCAUUCAAUGUUACACAGGUUUACUUGAGAGAAUCCAAAGCAGCCUAACUCUUUCGGACCUGCCACCUUUUUUUUUAUUACUGACCCCACAGAUUUGCAUAAACACCCUGCAGCUAAGAGUUUUGAAUUUACUACAUAUUAGCAAUCCUUACUUUAUUGAGAAUCCAGAGCUGCAAAUGUCCAAUGCCUUUUUCCUCUGAUUUGUUUUUCCAGAUUUGCAAAAUCCUAAU